rnacentral:rRNA from 1 species
UACGUAGGGUGCAAGCGUUGUCCGGAAUUAUUGGGCGUAAAGAGCUCGUAGGCGGUCUGUCGAGUCGGAUGUGAAAAUCCAGGGCUCAACCCUGGACCUGCAUUCGAUACGGGCAGACUAGAGUUCGGUAGGGGAGACUGGAAUUCCUGGUGUAGCGGUGAAAUGCGCAGAUAUCAGGAGGAACACCGGUGGCGAAGGCGGGUCUCUGGGCCGAAACUGACGCUGAGGAGCGAAAGCGUGGGGAGCAAACAGG